rnacentral:rRNA from 1 species
UAGGGAAUCUUCGGCAAUGGACGAAAGUCUGACCGAGCAACGCCGCGUGAGUGAAGAAGGUCUUCGGAUCGUAAAACUCUGUUGUUAGAGAAGAACAAGGACGUUAGUAACUGAACGUCCCCUGACGGUAUCUAACCAGAAAGCCACGGCUAACUACGUGCCAGCAGCCGCGGUAAUACGGAGGUGGCAAGCGUUGUCCGGAUUUAUUGGGCGUAAAGCGAGCGCAGGCGGUUUCUUAAGUCUGAUGUGAAAGCCCCCGGCUCAACCGGGGAGAGUCAUUGGAAACUGGGAGACUUGAGUGCAGAAGAGGGGAGUGGAAUUCCAUGUGUAGCGGUGAAAUGCGUAGAUAUAUGGAGGAACACCAGUGGCGAAGGCGGCUCUCUGGUCUGUAACUGACGCUGAGGCUCGAAAGCGUGGGGAGCAAACAGG